UACCAUAAUAUUUUUUUUCAGAAUGUCCACAACAGGAGAAACAAUACUGAAGACAAUGACCGAUUACUGGGUCGUGGGCAAAGUGUCAAAUCUUCGAGAAUUCUACGUUGUCAUCCAUCAAAAAAAUGCCAACCUCAUAGAAAUAAAUGAUGAAGUGAAGAGGCUAAGUGACAGUCAACUUAAGAGCAUAUUUUUCCAUGAUUGAAGUGGAGUGAAGUUAGUGGAAUAUGAAUUUGAAAUUUGUUAUAAGGAGGCACUUUUAAAUUGUGUCAGUUCCCAUGUACUAUCAGUGAAAUCAUCCAUUCCAAUUGAUCUAUCACAGUUCUGUAAUUAUCGUGCAUACAUCCAUUUUAAUAUGUAAAUAUGUUGUGUUAUUUAAAAAUAAAUAUUUUACAGACUGCAUCAA